AAUGCCAACAGCAGCCUCCUCUGCUCAUCUCUCCCGCUGCCCCCAUCAGAAAAUCCAUAACCACAACCUUUCCCAGCCUUUAAGCUGCCUCUGGAGAGUCAGGGAAGCCAACGGCAUCAUUGUUCACGCGGCAACUGUGCUGCACCUCGUUGUGCAGAAGCUUGGUGGGCGUCCGUGACUUCAGGAGCCCGUGAGAAGGGGAAGCCGUCGGUAUUGUGCCUCAUGCCAAAGAACCGGACUACCCACCAGGGACAGUUACUUGUCUUUUACAAUACCCAGGAAGUGCCCUUCAUCACAGAUGCUGAAGUUUGACUGUGGCCUUAUGCGGUACAUUGUGCUGACAUAUUUUCUCAUGGGAACUGUUGGGCUAGUUCAGGCAAGUAUCUGCAAUGCUUAAACAGACAGUUUCAGGCUGGAGAAUUUAAGAGACAACCAAAUAGAGUUUUAAUGCCCUGUAAGAUAAUAACGAAAGACAUUUAUGAAAAAAAAAAUUCCAGUUAGUUUGAAAGCCAGGGCCCGCACUCCAUAUUUUGACAGCAGAUGGAUGGCUAGCUUGACUGAUCCUGGUUUACUUUCUGACUUGAAUUUGUCCCCAGUCCAGUGAAAUCAUAAGGGCUCCCUUCAAUCUGGUUAAUGUUCAGAACCAAUGUUUGAGUUUUAGACUAAUUAAGGGGCAACCACUGACAUUUUUUCUAUAAUGUGAAGACUGGUGCCAGCAGUAACUCAGUGAGAUUUAACAUAAAAGCCAGAUAAAACAAUUAAAGUGGAAGAAUAUUUGAUUAAGUGGAUCACUGAUUUAUAGUGAGGUAAAUUGAAAUUGAAAGGAGAGUGAACUUUUUAUGGCAAUCAUAUAUUACGUUCAUUAUCAGAGACUCUGGAUCCUUUGUGCUUUUGUGAUUU
rnacentral:lncRNA from 1 species